rnacentral:rRNA from 1 species
UACGAAGGGGGCUAGCGUUGCUCGGAAUCACUGGGCGUAAAGCGCACGUAGGCGGCUUGUUAAGUCAGGGGUGAAAUCCUGGAGCUCAACUCCAGAACUGCCUUUGAUACUGGCGAGCUUGAGUCCGGGAGAGGUGAGUGGAACUGCGAGUGUAGAGGUGAAAUUCGUAGAUAUUCGGAAGAACACCAGUGGCGAAGGCGGCUCACUGGACCGGCAUUGACGCUGAUGUGCGAAAGCGUGGGGAGCAAACAGG